AACGAACGCUGGCGGCAGGCUUAACACAUGCAAGUCGAGCGCCCCGCAAGGGGAGCGGCAGACGGGUGAGUAACGCGUGGGAAUCUACCCAUCUCUACGGAAUAACGCAUGGAAACGUGUGCUAAUACCGUAUACGUCCUUCGGGAGAAAGAUUUACCGGAGAUGGAUGAGCCCGCGUUGGAUUAGCUAGUUGGUGGGGUAAAGGCCUACCAAGGCGACGAUCCAUAGCUGGUCUGAGAGGAUGAUCAGCCACACUGGGACUGAGACACGGCCCAGACUCCUACGGGAGGCAGCAGUGGGGAAUAUUGGACAAUGGGCGCAAGCCUGAUCCAGCCAUGCCGCGUGAGUGAUGAAGGCCCUAGGGUUGUAAAGCUCUUUCACCGGUGAAGAUAAUGACGGUAACCGGAGAAGAAGCCCCGGCUAACUUCGUGCCAGCAGCCCGCCGUAACAC
rnacentral:rRNA from 1 species